AUAUUGCACAAUGGACGCAAGUCUGAUGCAGCAACGCCGCGUGCUCGAUGAAGGCCUUCGGGUUGUAAAGGGCUUUUCGGGGAGAUGAGGAAGGACAGUAUCCCCGGAAGAAGGAUCGGCUAACUACGUGCCAGCAGCCGCGGUAAAACGUAGGAUCCGAGCGUUAUCCGAAUUCACUGGGCGUAAAGCGCAUGCAGUCGGCCUGACAAGUUGGAUGUGAAAGCUCCCGGCUCAACUGGGAGAGGACGUACAAGACUGUUAGGCUCGAGGACGGUAGAGGGAGGUGGAAUUCCCGGUGUAGUGGUGAAAUGCGUAGAUAUCGGGAGGAACACCAGAGGCGAAGGCGGCCUCCUGGACCGGACCUGACGCUGAGAUGCGAAAGCUAGGGGAGCGAACGGG
rnacentral:rRNA from 1 species